rnacentral:snoRNA from 1 species
AAACCAUGAUUAAGACACUUUAUUAGUAGCACUUGGAAACGUUCCCAAGCUUCAUAGAAGGCUUCACCAGCACCUUGUCGGAAUGUUGAUAUUUCAAAUUUUGCAU